UGUCCAGGGGCGGGAAUCGAACCCACACCCUUCUGCUUACCGGGCAGGUGCCUUGUCCACUCGCAGUUUCCCGCCCCUGGAC
rnacentral:tRNA from 1 species